AAGAAAAUUGCUAAAAUUACCCAUUGCUUCAUUUGAGAAGAACAUUCACUAAGAUGCAGGAGCAGUUUUAAGGAGCAAUAAGGGAUAGCACUUGCAGUCAAUUGUAUUACUUCAGUUGAAGAAGGCAUGGAGCAAAAUAGAAGUUAACAUGAGCAGGAUGAAGAGCAGGAACUGAAAGACAGUAGGACCACCAACUCUAACUCUCUCUCCCUUGCCUGCAGGAAGCUGUGUACUGGCCUGCCUUGUACUUACGGACAUGAAGCUUACAACUAUCAUGGAGCCGGAUAAAUCUGUGGACCUAUUGCUGCAUAAGGAUUUCUACCGGGGUUGCGUCUCCUGUUCUUUGUGGUACCUCUUGGGGAUAGCAAGCUUAUUAUGGUACAGGUACCAACUCUUUCUAGUGAGAAAGUUUGGGAUUGAUGUAGGUUCUGACCAUCACCUAGAGAUAUCUUCAUCUCUCCCUGCAGUAUUUCCCAUGUAGUACUUGAACCAUAUGGACAACUACAGGCAUUCUGUUGUGCGAACUAUACAUGGGAUCCUGGAACCAGAUUGGACAAUGGACAAUCCAAGUGGUGAUGUCAGCUUCCCAGAAGCCCUUCAUGGUGUUGGGCUAGCCUCCUGUACGUCUGCAUGAGACAGACAUAUACACUCCUAUCCAGUAACCAGCCCCUUUUGAAGAGGAACGUUUUGAGACUAUUGUGUGACCCAAGUUGAAGUUUUGGACAACUUGAUAUUUCUGUCUGGCAGUGUUGGACACUUUGUCAUUUCUGUAAGGAAAAAAGCAAAAUCCAGCUUCAUUUCCAAUACAAUCAUAUCCUCAUUUUACUUACACCGAGUCUCACUAAAAGAUUUCUCUUUUCAAAUGAAUUUGAUGGUUCCCAUCCUGAAGUCCAAUUAUAAAUCUGAAUGUUAGAUGGUUGUGAAAAUAUCUAUGUGCAUGUAUAAACUUCGAGUCUACGCUAAGUGCCUUUUGCUCCAAUGAACUUUUUUUAUCACCUGAUGAAUAUUAUUUCUGCAAUUAGCUUCCAUCUGUCAGCCUAGUCUAACAUCAAACAGUGCAACUUCCCUAUGAUAAAUAAAGUUGCUAAG
rnacentral:lncRNA from 1 species